UGGGGAAUAUUGGACAAUGGCAAGAGUCUGAUCCAGCAAUUCUGUGUGCACGAUGACGUUUUUCGGAAUGUAAAGUGCUUUCAGUUGGGAAGAAAAAAAUGACGGUACCAACAGAAGAAGUGACGGCUAAAUACGUGCCAGCAGCCGCGGUAAUACGUAUGUCACGAGCGUUAUCCGGAUUUAUUGGGCGUAAAGCGCGUCUAGGUGGUUAUGUAAGUCUGAUGUGAAAAUGCAGGGCUCAACUCUGUAUUGCGUUGGAAACUGUGUAACUAGAGUACUGGAGAGGUAAGCGGAACUACAAGUGUAGAGGUGAAAUUCGUAGAUAUUUGUAGGAAUGCCGAUGGAGAAGCCAGCUUACUGGACAGAUACUGACGCUGAAGCGCGAAAGCGUGGGUAGCAAACAGGAUUAGAUACCCUGGUAGUCCACGCCGUAAACGAUGAUUACUAGGUGUUGGGGGUCGAACCUCAGCGCCCAAGCAAACGCGAUAAGUAAUCCGCCUGGGGAGUACGUACGCAAGUAUG
rnacentral:rRNA from 1 species